GACGAACGCUGGCGGCGUGCUUAACACAUGCAAGUCGAACGGAAAGGCCCUGCUUUUGUGGGGUGCUCGAGUGGCGAACGGGUGAGUAACACGUGAGUAACCUGCCCUUGACUUUGGGAUAACUUCAGGAAACUGGGGCUAAUACCGGAUAGGAGCUCCUGCUGCAUGGUGGGGGUUGGAAAGUUUCGGCGGUUGGGGAUGGACUCGCGGCUUAUCAGCUUGUUGGUGGGGUAGAGGCUUACCAAGGCUUUGACGGGUAGCCGGCCUGAGAGGGUGACCGGCCACAUGGGGACUGAGAUACGGACCAGACUCGUACGGGAGGCAGCAGUGGGGAAUAUUGCACAAUGGGCGGAAGCGUGAGGCAGCAACGCCGCGUGCGGGAUGAGCGCCUUCGGGUUGUAAACCGCUUUCGCCUGUGACGAAGCGUGAGUGACGGUAAUGGGUAAAGAAGCACCGGCUAACUACGUG
rnacentral:rRNA from 1 species